CCUACGGGAGGCAGCAGUGGGGAAUAUUGGGCAAUGGGCGCAAGCCUGACCCAGCAACGCCGCGUGAAGGAAGAAGGCUUUCGGGUUGUAAACUUCUUUUUAGAGGGAAGAGAAGACGACGGUACCUAUUGAAUAAGCCACGGCUAACUACGUGCCAGCAGCCGCGGUAAUACGUAGGUGGCAAGCGUUGUCCGGAUUUACUGGGUGUAAAGGGCGUGUAGCCGGGCGGACAAGUCAGAGGUGAAAGCAGGGGGCUCAACCCACGAACUGCAUUUGAAACUGUUGGUCUGGAGUAUCGGUGAGGCAGGCGGAAUGCCUGGUGUAGCGGUGAAAUGCGUAGAGAUUAGGAGGAACACCGGUGGCGAAGGCGGCCUGCGGGACGACAACUGACGGUGAGGCGCGAAAGCGUGGGGAGCAAACAGGAGUAGAUACCCUAGUAGUC
rnacentral:rRNA from 1 species